rnacentral:rRNA from 1 species
GACGAACGCUGGCGGCGUGCCUAACACAUGCAAGUCGAGCGGAGAUCAUAGCAAUGUGAUCUUAGCGGCGGACGGGUGAGUAACGCGUGGGCAACCUACCCCAAACUGGGGGAUAACAGUGGGAAACUACUGCUAAUACCGCAUAAAAUCAUGAGAAGACAUCUUUUUAUGAUCAAAGGAGCAAUCCGGUGAGAGAUGGGCCCGCGUCCAAUUAGCUAGUUGGUGAGGUAACGGCCCACCAAGGCGACGAUUGGUAGCCGAACUGAGAGGUUGAUCGGCCACAUUGGGACUGAGACACGGCCCAGACUCCUACGGGAGGCAGCAGUGGGGAAUAUUGCGCAAUGGGGGAAACCCUGACGCAGCAACGCCGCGUGAAGGAUGAAGGUUUUCGGAUUGUAAACUUCUUUGAUGGGGGACGAACAAAAUGACGGUACCCCAAAAACAAGCCACGGCUAACUACGUGCCAGCAGCCGCGGUAACAC